GAACCUGGGUAGAAAUAGUUAUGUUCUUGAAACCCAAAGAAUUUGGCGGUAUUUUAUUCUUUUUAGAGGAGCCUGUCCUGUAAUUGACAAUCCACGAUAGAUAAUUACUUGUUUUUGUUUUCAUUUUGUAUACCUCCGUCAUCAGAGUAUCUUUUUAGGGAAAAUAUUCAAAUAAUACGAAAUAUAAUAUGUCAGGUCAAGGUGCAAUUUAUGGACAAGUAGAGAUGGGCUACAAUAAAUUUAUUUAUACGAAUUGAUAUUAUUAUAUUUAUCAUGAAGGUGGAUUUAAAAGUAAAAUUAACUCUUUAUUAAUUUGACCUUAGCUCUAAAAUAUGCACACAUCGCCCGUCGCUCUUAUUUUAAAAUAAGAUAAGUCGUAACAUAGUAGGUGUACUGGAAAGUGUA
rnacentral:rRNA from 1 species